rnacentral:sRNA from 1 species
GGAAGGAGAGAAAGCUCAUGGUAUUGACUGCGCAAUAAGAUGAAAUAAUCUAUGAAAUUAUUAGAUCAAUUUUCAAAAAAGUCCUAAUACAGAAAAAUAAAUACUAAAGCAAUACAAGAAUCUUGCAUAGAAAUGAAUACCACAUUUAAGAAGAUAAUAUUUAAAUGCCAAUAUAAAAAAUUCAAAAGAAUAUAUCU